rnacentral:lncRNA from 1 species
GUGCCUCACACAUGCCAGGCAAGCCCUCUGCCACUGAACUACAACCCCAAUUCUAAAAAAUCAACCAUUUUAAAGUGAACAAUUCAGUGGCAUUUUGUGCAUUCAUAAUGUUGUGCAACCAACACCUCCAACUACUUCCAAAACAUUUUCAUCACUAAAGUAAUGUCCCUUAACCUGUUCCUCUCCUUUUCUCCCAGGACCUGAAACCUCCUAUCAGCUUUGCUUCUGCAAAUUUACCUAUUUUGGAUAAUUAUUUUUAUCAAUGAAAUCAUAGAAAAUAUGACCUUUUGCUGACUUUUACUCAGCAUGUUUGAGGUUCAUCCAGCUGUAGCAUUUAUAAGUUAUGCCAUUCCUUUUUAUGACUGAAUAAUAUUC